rnacentral:rRNA from 1 species
GGCGCUUUCGGGUGUCGCUGAUGGAUGGACCCGCGGUGCAUUAGCUAGUUGGUGAGGUAACGGCUCACCAAGGCGACGAUGCAUAGCCGACCUGAGAGGGUGAUCGGCCACAUUGGGACUGAGACACGGCCCAAACUCCUACGGGAGGCAGCAGUAGGGAAUCUUCGGCAAUGGACGAAAGUCUGACCGAGCAACGCCGCGUGAGUGAAGAAGGUUUUCGGAUCGUAAAACUCUGUUGUUAGAGAAGAACAAGGAUGAGAGUAACUGUUCAUCCCUUGACGGUAUCUAACCAGAAAGCCACGGCUAACUACGUGCCAGCAGCCGCGGUAAUACGUAGGUGGCAAGCGUUGUCCGGAUUUAUUGGGCGUAAAGCGAGCGCAGGCGGUUUCUUAAGUCUGAUGUGAAAGCCCCCGGCUCAACCGGGGAGGGUCAUUGGAAACUGGGAGACUUGAGUGCAGAAGAGGAGAGUGGAAUUCCAUGUGUAGCGGUGAAAUGCGUAGAUAUAUGGAGGAACACCAGUGGCGAAGGCGGCUCUCUGGUCUGUAACUGACGCUGAGGCUCGAAAGCGUGGGGAGCAAACAGGAUUAGAUACCCUGGUAGUCCACGCCGUAAACGAUGAGUGCUAAGUGUUGGAGGGUUUCCGCCCUUCAGUGCUGC